rnacentral:rRNA from 1 species
AAACCUGCGGAAGGAUCAUU